rnacentral:pre_miRNA from 1 species
GUCUCUGUCUCUGUCUCUGUCUGUCUGUCUGUCUGUCUGUCUGUCUGUCUCUCACACACACAGAGACAGACAGACAGACAGACAGACAGACAGACAGACACAGA